rnacentral:rRNA from 1 species
CCCGCUGGAAAUUAAGCAUAUCAAUAAGCGGAGGAAAAGAAACCAACAGGGAUUGCCCUAGUAACGGCGAGUGAAGCGGCAACAGCUCAAAUUUGAAAGCUGGCCUUCUGGCCCGCAUUGUAAUUUGCAGAGGAUGCUUUUGGUGCGGUACCUUCCGAGUUCCUUGGAACAGGACGCCUUAGAGGGUGAGAGCCCCGUACGGUUGGAUGCCUAGCCUCUGUAAAGCUCCUUCGACGAGUCGAGUAGUUUGGGAAUGCUGCUCUAAAUGGGAGGUAAAUUUCUUCUAAAGCUAAAUAUUGGCCAGAGACCGAUAGCGCACAAGUAGAGUGAUCGAAAGAUGAAAAGCACUUUGAAAAGAGGGUUAAAUAGCACGUGAAAUUGUUGAAAGGGAAGGAUUUAUCACCAGACCUUUGCCUGGCGGAUCAUCCGGUGUUCUCACCGGUGCACUUCGCCAGGUCGAGGCCAGCAUCGGUUUCGGCCGGGGGAUAAAGACUUCGGGAACGUGGCUCCCUCCGGGGAGUGUUAUAGCCCGUUGUGUAAUACCCUGGCUGGGACCGAGGAACGCGCUCUGCAAGGAUGCUGGCAUAAUGGUGAUCAAUCACCCGUCUUGAAACACGGACCAAGGAGUCGAACAUUUGUGCGAGUGUUUGGGUAUCAAACCCUCACGCGUAAUGAAAGUGAACGGAGGUGAGAGCCUUAGGGUGCAUCAUCGACCGAUCCUGAUGUCUUCGGAUGGAUUUGAGUAGGAGCAUAACUGUUCGGACCCGAAAGAUGGUGAACUAUGCGUGGAUAGGGUGAAGCCAGAGGAAACUCUGGUGGAGGCUCGCAGCGGUUCUGACGUGCAAAUCGAUCGUCAAAUCUGCGCAUGGGGGCGAAAGACUAAUCGAACCAUCUAGUAGCUGGUUACCGCCGAAGUUCCCCUCAAGGAA